rnacentral:rRNA from 1 species
CCUACGGGUGACUGCAGUCGAGAAUCUUGCACAAUGGGGGAAACCCUGAUGCUGCGACGCCGCGUGGGGGAAUGAAGGUCUUCGGAUUGUAAACCCCUUUCAUGUGGGAGCAAAUUAAAAUGAGAGUACCACAAGAGGAAGAUCCGGCUAAAUCGGUGCCAGCAGUCGCGGGAAUACAGAGGGGUCAAGCGGGGUUCGGCAUCACUGGGCCGAAAGCGUGCGUAGGCAGGUGCGUAAGUCGUGUGUGAAAGGCGCGGGCUCAACCCGCGGACGGCACAUGAAACUGGGAUACUAGAGUAAGUGAGGGGGAAGCGGAAUUCGCGGUGUAGCAGUGAAAUGCGGAGAUAUCGAGAGGAACACUCGUGGCGAAGGCGGGUUGCUGGAACUUAACUGACGCUGAGGCACGAAGGCCAGGGGAGCGAACAGGAUUAGAUACCCGUGUAGUC